UACAGAGGGUGCAAGCGUUGUUCGGAAUUAUUGGGCGUAAAGGGCGCGCAGGCGGCUCAUUUUGUCAGGCGUGAAAGCCCCGGGCUUAACCUGGGAACGGCGCUUGGGACGGGUGGGCUAGAGAUCGGGAGAGGAGAGUGGAAUUCCCAGUGUAGAGGUGAAAUUCGUAGAUAUUGGGAAGAACACCGGUGGCGAAGGCGGCGACCUGGUCCGAUACUGACGCUGAGGCGCGAAAGCGUGGGGAGCGAACCGG
rnacentral:rRNA from 1 species